rnacentral:rRNA from 1 species
UACGGAGGGGGCUAGCGUUGUUCGGAAUCACUGGGCGUAAAGCGCACGUAGGCGGACUCUUAAGUCAGGGGUGAAAUCCUGGAGCUCAACUCCAGAACUGCCUUUGAUACUGAGAGCCUUGAGUCCGGAAGAGGUAAGUGGAACUGCGAGUGUAGAGGUGAAAUUCGUAGAUAUUCGGAAGAACACCAGUGGCGAAGGCGGCUCACUGGCCCGGUACUGACGCUGAGAUACGAAAGCGUGGGGAGCAAACAGG